GACGAACGCUGGCGGCGUGCUUCAUACAUGCAAGUCGAACGAGAAGCUGACUUCGGUCAGUGGAAAGUGGCGGACGGGUGCGUAUUAUUUAGAAAUUCUGCCUUUAGCAGGGAGACAACAGAGACAACCUUCUGCUAAAGCCCCAUAUGGACGUUGCUGAAAUGCUAUUCUUGAAAACUCCGUUGCCUAAAUAUGAGCCUGCAUCUGAUUAGCUAGUUGUUAGUGAAAUGGACUACCAAGUCACCGAUCAGUAGCUGAUUUGAGAGGAUGAUCCGCCACAAUGGGGCUGAGCCACGGCCCAGACUCCUACGGGAGGCAGGAGUAGGGAACUUAGCGAAACCGGCGGAAGCAUGAAGCAGCAACGCCCGGUGAACGAUUAAGUCCUUCGGGGUCUAAAGUUAUGUCAACGGUGACGAAACUUGACGGUACCAACAGAGGAAGCACCGGCUAACUCCGU
rnacentral:rRNA from 1 species